rnacentral:rRNA from 1 species
UAUGAAGGCGGGCUGGAACCUCUCGGGGUUACAGCCUUGCUGAAUUAUUCACCCUUGUCUUUUGCGUACUUCUUGUUUCCUUGGUGGGUUCGCCCACCACUAGGACAAACAUAAACCUUUUGUAAUUGCAAUCAGCGUCAGUAACAAAUUAAUAAUUACAACUUUCAACAACGGAUCUCUUGGUUCUGGCAUCGAUGAAGAACGCAGCGAAAUGCGAUAAGUAGUGUGAAUUGCAGAAUUCAGUGAAUCAUCGAAUCUUUGAACGCACAUUGCGCCCUUUGGUAUUCCAAAGGGCAUGCCUGUUCGAGCGUCAUUUGUACCCUCAAGCUUUGCUUGGUGUUGGGCGUCUUGUCUCUAGCUUUGCUGGAGACUCGCCUUAAAGUAAUUGGCAGCCGGCCUACUGGUUUCGGAGCGCAGCACAAGUCGCACUCUCUAUCAGCAAAGGUCUAGCAUCCAUUAAGCCUUUUUUUCAACUUUUGACCUCGGAUCAGGUAGGGAUACCCGCUGAACUUAAGCAUAUC